CCUACGGGUGGCUGCAGGGAGGAAUAUUGGUCAAUGGGAGGGAUCCUGAACCAGCCAAGCCGCGUGAGGGAAGACGGCCCUAUGGGGUGUAAAUCUCUUUUUUCGGGGGAAAAAACCGGGGCAGGGUCCCGGACUGCGUGUAUCCGAAGAAAAAGCAUCGGCUAAAUCCGUGCCAGCAGCCGCGGUGAAAAGGGGGAUGCGAGUGUUAUCCGGAUUUAUUGGGUUUAAAGGGUGCGUAGGCGGUCUGUUAAGGCAGGGGUAAAAUUGCGGGGCUCAAGCCCGGCGAGCCGUUGAAACUGGCAGGCUUGAGUGCGCGUGAAGUAGGCGGAAUGCGCGGUGUAGCGGUGAAAUGCAUAGAUAUCGCGCAGAACUCCGAUUGCGAAGGCAGCGUACCGGCGCCAGACUGACGCUGAGGCACGAAAGCGUGGGGAUCGAACAGGAUUAGAUACCCUAGUAGUC
rnacentral:rRNA from 1 species